rnacentral:rRNA from 1 species
GGUUAAGUUAAUAAGGGCGCACGGUGGAUGCCUUGGCACUAGGAGCCGAAGAAGGACGUGACAAACGACGAUAUGCCUUGGGUAGCUGUAAGUAAGCGAUGAUCCAGGGAUUUCCGAAUGGGGGAACCCAACAGGUACUACCUGUUACCCGCAUCUGUUAAGGAUGUGAGGAGGAAGACGCAGUGAACUGAAACAUCUAAGUAGCUGCAGGAAGAGAAAGCAAAAGCGAUUGCCUUAGUAGCGGCGAGCGAAACGGCAGAAGGGCAAACCGAAGAGUUUACUCUUCGGGGUUGUAGGACUGCAAUGUGGACUCAAAGAUUAUAGAAGAAUGAUUUGGGAAGAUCAGCCAAAGAGAGUAAUAGCCUCGUAUUUAAAAUAGUCUUUGUACCUAGCAGUAUCCUGAGUACGGCGGGACACGUGAAAUCCCGUCGGAAUCUGGGAGGACCAUCUCCCAACCCUAAAUACUCCCUAGUGACCGAUAGUGAACCAGUACCGUGAGGGAAAGGUGAAAAGCACCCCGGGAGGGGAGUGAAAUAGAACCUGAAACCGUGUGCCUACAACAAGUUCGAGCCCGUUAAUGGGUGAGAGCGUGCCUUUUGUAGAAUGAACCGGCGAGUUACGUUAUGAUGCGAGGUUAAGUUGAAGAGACGGAGCCGUAGGGAAACCGAGUCUGAAUAGGGCGCCUUAGUAUCAUGACGUAGACCCGAAACCAUGUGACCUACCCAUGAGCAGGUUGAAGGUGCGGUAAGACGCACUGGAGGACCGAACCAGGGCACGUUGAAAAGUGCUUGGAUGACUUGUGGGUAGCGGAGAAAUUCCAAACGAACUUGGAGAUAGCUGGUUCUCUCCGAAAUAGCUUUAGGGCUAGCGUCGACAUUAGAGAUUCUUGGAGGUAGAGCACUGUUUGGGUGAGGGGUCCAUCCCGGAUUACCAAUCUCAGAUAAACUCCGAAUGCCAAUGAAUUAUGGUCGGCAGUCAGACUGCGAGUGCUAAGAUCCGUAGUCGAAAGGGAAACAGCCCAGACCACCAGCUAAGGUCCCAAAAUAAUUGUUAAGUGGAAAAGGAUGUGGGGUUGCACAGACAACUAGGAUGUUAGCUUAGAAGCAGCUAUUCAUUCAAAGAGUGCGUAAUAGCUCACUAGUCGAGUGACCCUGCGCCGAAAAUGUACCGGGGCUAAAACAAUUUACCGAAGCUGUGGAUACCUUUAUAGGUAUGGUAGGAGAGCGUUCUAUGUGUGAUGAAGGUGUACCGUGAGGAGCGCUGGAACGCAUAGAAGUGAGAAUGCCGGUAUGAGUAGCGAAAGACAGGUGAGAAUCCUGUCCACCGUAAGACUAAGGUUUCCAGGGGAAGGCUCGUCCGCCCUGGGUUAGUCGGGACCUAAGGAGAGACCGAAAGGUGUAUCCGAUGGAAAACAGGUUGAUAUUCCUGUACUAGAGUAUGUAGUGAUGGAGGGACGCAGUAGGCUAACUAAAGCAGACGAUUGGAAGAGUCUGUCUAAGCAGUGAGGUGUGAUAUGAGUCAAAUGCUUAUAUCUAUAACAUUGAGCUGUGAUGGGGAGCGAAGUUUAGUAGCGAAGUUAGUGACGUCACACUGCCAAGAAAAGCUUCUAGCGUUUAAACAUACUCUACCCGUACCGCAAACCGACACAGGUAGUCGAGGCGAGUAGCCUCAGGUGAGCGAGAGAACUCUCGUUAAGGAACUCGGCAAAAUGACCCCGUAACUUCGGGAGAAGGGGUGCUGACUUUACGUCAGCCGCAGUGAAUAGGCCCAAGCAACUGUUUAUCAAAAACACAGCUCUCUGCUAAAUCGUAAGAUGAUGUAUAGGGGGUGACGCCUGCCCGGUGCUGGAAGGUUAAGAGGAGUGCUUAGCGUAAGCGAAGGUAUGAAUUGAAGCCCCAGUAAACGGCGGCCGUAACUAUAACGGUCCUAAGGUAGCGAAAUUCCUUGUCGGGUAAGUUCCGAC